UAGGAGCGAGGCUUGCCCGCGAUAGGCUCUACGCGGUGUGCCUGCAAUACCGCAGCGCCUACAUCGCGGGCAAGCCUCGCUCCUA
rnacentral:misc_RNA from 1 species